rnacentral:lncRNA from 1 species
UUAAUUUUGGUAGAUACAUCAAAUCCCUAAAUUACCGUUCAAUCAUUUAAUUACUGACUACCUUUUCACCUACCAGUCAAUUUCUCUUCACCCAUCGCCGUCUUCGUCCACUUUCAACCCUAGUGUAUGCGAUUUCCGGCGUCUUCAACCAUUGAACAGGUUUUUUUUUCUUUUUUUUUGCGUUUCGUUGUUCAUCCAUCACUCGAAACUCGAUAAUAAUCCAUCAUAUUCUCCAUUUGAUACAGUAAUCUAUAUCUGCUGCGUUGUCUGCUUUGAAGGGGUAUGUUUUCAAGUUUUUUUUUUUUGUUGUUCAUCUGUUUUUCACUUCCAUGAUGGGGCGUUGUCACUAAUAAUGUUCUUCCUGAACACAAGUGAAGUUAUUUCGAACUUUUUUUGAGCGAACUUUACCUGAUCUGCAUGUUAUUUGGAAAAUAUUUGAAGGUAUGACUUUGUUCAUUUGUAGAAAAAAAUAUAUAUUAGGACAAUCAUCGUUUUACACUUUGGUACUAUUUUUUUCAUUGCGAACUCGGUGGUCCCCCGUUGGUGUACAGUGUAUUUUGCUUCCUUUUUCCUCCUUUUGGUACCAGUGGACCUUUUUCCUAAAACAAAUGAAUUGAAAGCGAACAAACGAGAAAAGUGUUUGAAGAACAUUCUACGUACGGAUUUUUUCUUUGGAUUGGAGCCCACCGAUGAUAGUUUAUUGGGAUUACAUUGAUCGAUGAAUUUCUUAAU